GGUGGUGGCAGCUCAGGCGCUCCGAGGAAUCACUGUGUGCCCAUUACUUGUGCAAACUGUGGACGAAUCAAACAGCAAAGCAUGAACUGAUUGAUUCUUAGAAGGGAAGUUCCUGGAUAAAAAGUUAUUCCAAAUGGUGGGAUUGCAUUUUGAGACUCAAAGGUACACAGACAUGAAGAAAGAAGGCAUGAAGGAACACCGCCUAUGCCCGCAGGCCCCCGUAUCCUGGCCUGGGCGGCCUUGGCUGGCGCUGCCGCCGGGUGAGGCUGGGCCAGCUGGCUGCUUCGGGGACCGCCAGCCCCGCUGGGGCCUCCCGGCGUUGCCUGGAAAC